rnacentral:misc_RNA from 1 species
CGAAAUGUGAUAAGUAGUGUGAAUUGCAGAAUUCAGUGAAUCAUCGAAUCUUUGAACGCACAUUGCGCCCUUUGGUAUUCCUUAGGGCAUGCCUGUUCGAGCGUCAUCUAAACCUUCAAGCCCUGCUUGGUGUUGGGUGCCUGUCCCGCCUCCGCGCGCGGACUCACCUCAAAUCCAUUGGCGGCCCCCGCGUCGGCCACGAGCGCAGCAGAAACGCGAACUCGUGAGCCCGUCCGGGCGGCUCCCAGAAGCUACACCCACCCAGUUUGACCUCGGAUCAGGUAGGGAUACCCGCUGAACUUAAGC